AUAAAUUAGACACUUAAAGGAAGUAACUGCUGGGAUGGAGACAGACAUGGAACAGUGUGUUCUGGAAAGUUAAAAGCCUAGCCAGUGUACCAAGAUUGUCAGCUACAUCCGGUGUCUUUGGGAGCAAUUUUGGCAGCCAGUUUGCAUAGCCUGUCUCAGUUCCUGAAUUGCCAGCAGCUGUCCAGGUGCCUAGAGACCCAGGGAGAAGGGAUUCUACAGACAUCAGAGCAGACAUGCUGUCGUUUCUCCUGCCUCAUCACAGCUGUUUUGCUUGAUCACUCCCUCAGCCCCAGUGGGAUGAACAGUGUGAGGAUGUGGUGGUGACACAUGUGCUCCCGCAGCCAAAUCAAAGGCCCAGCCAAGCCUGUGCCUCAGCCAUGAGUCUGGAGGAAAUCAGAGACCUUCAUUAAAGUUUCAGAAAAACCUAACUGGUAUGAGGACAGCAUUCAAAAAUGUAUUUGGGGGAAAACAAAUAUUGUUUUAACUCUGUUAAUAAUUUAUGUGUUGCCAGCAGAGAUCCUCCUAGCAUUAAGGGAAUUGAAAAUUAAAGGCACAAAGACACUAUAAGAAAACAUGUUG